CCUACGGGAGGCAGCAGUGGGGAAUAUUGGUCAAUGGGCGCAAGCCUGAACCAGCAAUGCCGCGUGAAGGAAGAAGGCUUUCGGGUUGUAAAAUUCUUUGACAGGGGAAGAGCAGAAGACGGUACCCUGCAAACAAGCCACGGCUAACGACGUGCGAGCAGCCGCGGUAAUACGUAGGUGGCAAGCGUUGUCCGGAUUUACUGGGUGUAAAGGGCGUGUAGCCGGGAAGGCAAGUCAGAUGUGAAAUCCGGAGGGUCAACCUCCGAAUUGCAUUUGAAACUGUUGUUCUUGAGUACUGGAGAGGCAGACGGAAUUCGUUGUGUAGCGGUGAAAUGCGUAGAUAUCACGAGGAACACCAGUGGCGAAGGCGGUCUGCUGGACCGCAACUGACGGUGAGGCGCGAAAGCGUGGGUAGCAAACAGGAUUAGAUACCCUGGUAGUC
rnacentral:rRNA from 1 species